GAUGAAGAACGUAGCGAAAUGCGAUACGUAGUGUGAAUUGCAGAAUUCCGUGAACCAUCAAAUCUUUGAACGCAUAUUGCGCUCGAGGCUUCGGCCGAGAGCAUGUCUGCCUCAGCGUCGGUAUUACCCCUCGCUUCUCAACCCCUGGUUGAUGCCUGCUUGCCUUUGCAGUUGGCUAGAAGCGGAUCUGGCUUUCCCAAUUGCCUUUGGUAGUUGGGUCAGCUGAAGCACAGAGGCUUGAGCAAGGACCCUUAUUGGGCUUCAACUGGAUAGGUAGAACUGGUCUUAGGACCAACUACACGAAGUUGUUGCUUGUGGUCUUUUGUCUGGAGGCCAGCAGGAAACCUUUAUACCUUCGACCUGAGCUCAGGCAAGAUUACCCGCUGAACUUAAGCAUAUCAAUAAGCGGAGGA
rnacentral:misc_RNA from 1 species